rnacentral:rRNA from 1 species
CAAUAGCGUAUAUUAAAGUUGUUGCAGUUAAAAAGCUCGUAGUUGGAUUUCUGGUGGGAGCGAUCGGUCUGGCGCUUAGCGCGAGUACUUGCAUCGUAUCCGGCCAUCCUUGGGGAGAGUCUGUCUGGCAUUAAGUUGUCGGGCAGAGGAUCCUCAUCGUUUACUGUGAAAAAAUUAGAGUGUUCAAAGCAGGCUUAUGCCGUUGAAUAUAUUAGCAUGGAAUAAUAAGAUAGGACUUUGGUACUAUUUUGUUGGUUUGCGCACCAAAGUAAUGAUUAAUAGGGACAGUUGGGGGUAUUCGUAUUCCGUUGUCAGAGGUGAAAUUCUUGGAUUUACGGAAGACGAACUACUGCGAAAGCAUUUACCAAGGAUGUUUUCAUUAA